rnacentral:lncRNA from 1 species
UGAUGACGAUGACGACGAUGUUGAUAAUAUAGAAGAAACGGCUCCUAAAUCAAGUUCUCACAAAGUUAAGCUGUGACACCCAAUUUUUUUGCAAAAAUUUUAAACUUUUAAAACCCAUCUUAAAUUAAAUUAAAACAACUGAAAUAGUCAUAACAUAAUCCAUCAACUUAAUAAUCAUAUAAAAUAAGUGCGGAAGUAAUAAUAAUAAUAAGGUCCCAACAAAAUAACUAGUAGCGAUGUCCCGAUGCUCCAUGUCAAGCCUUAGCCUCUUUAAUCUUAACACCUGAAAAGUUAUAAGGGAAAAACGUAAGCACGAAGCUUAGUGAAUUCAAACACAGACAUUGUACUAACAUUCAUAUUUACUAGCCCUAAUCCAUUUUCCAAUUAUAAUGAUAAAGGCAAAGAACGAAUCAAUGUCUAUAUUACGAGAAGGACUUGUAGGUUUGAACCGCACCGGGAAGAUCCCGUAUCAUUUGGCCCUAAUCACCGCACCUCACGAAGAGUAUUACGUUGGUGAUCUUACCUACCCACCGCACCGGUAAAUCCGUAUCCUUUGGUGGUGUCCCCAUAUCCAUAAUUAGUUACAUACAGUGCACAUGUACGAAUUAAAACAAUACUUAUAUAGUAUAAAUUCAAAUAAUCACACACGAGCUAACUAGCAAACACAAUCAUCAAUACAAAGGUGUGAGAGAACUCACCUUGAGUGAGUAUUCAGGAUGGCUAACAAUCAAAUAAUGCUACCAAGCUUGAGCAAACUUCAAAACCUCACCUAAGAAGGACUAAAGGUUAGAAAGGAGAAGUAAUGAAGCUAUGAGUUGAGAAAAGAGUAAUCACAGCAAGGUCUCUAAAACAGACCUGCUGUUCAAAACGGAUUUACUCCAAAAUCUAAAACAGAAACAUAGCUUUAACUAAAUUUUAUAGGAAACUAUGAUUGCUCAGGAUUCCACAACUAUAAAGAACUCAUUCUAACUCCAAAAGAUGAAUUAAAUAUGAAUUUUACAAAAUGGUGUAUCACUUCUGUCUCCAACAAUACAGUCAAGUGAUGUUGGCCAAUUCUACCCAACUUGUGAGUAGAAUUCGUCCAAAAGAAAAUUAAGAGAAGUAAAGGACAUACAAGUGAAAGUCUCAGAGUUGGAAUUGAAUGAAAAGCAUCUCUCAAACUCCAGAUAUAAAAUUCACAUUGUGGACAAUCACAGCACUAGCAAAAGCUGGUGACUGCCCACUGACCUGGAGUGUGGAUCCAUUCUAACCAAUUUAUAAUUGGAAAUAACACCCCAUAUUCUCCAGAUCUUAAAUUCAUAAUAUAAGGAACAUAUAGAAACUUGGAAUCACUCUGGAUCCUUUUCCAAGCCUUAGAAAUGAUGAAAACAAAAUGACAUAUCAGAACAGACCCGGAUCAGACCUAACAGCAAAGAUGCCAUUCUUUCACAUAGAUAAAGCCCUUAUCAGUGAGGUUGGCCUUCUUAAGAAAGUUAGCCAACUCAAUUUGUGAACUUUUGGAACUGGUUUGGGGUCCGUUUGAGUUCUAGAGCUCCAGAUAUGAUUUUUACAAAAUGACUACAGAUCUGAUGGAAAACAGAAUCGUAGCCACCCGUGAUUCCUUUUUGGCUUAUCCAUCCUUCUCCUUUUGAAACACAUUUUAAGAUGUGUUCAUCAUCCCAAUUCAGUCCCCAUGAUAAUGGUGGUACUAAAAAGGGUUAGGGAUCAUUAGGAUUUCAUUUAGCCACAAGGAUGUAAUAAUAAUCAACAUGAAAAUAAACAUAAGCACAUAAAAUCAUCAUUCUCCCUUUUAGGGUUUCCAUGAUCUUUUGCCACAUGUAAUCCCCUAGAUCCAUCAUCCACCAUAUAUGGGGUGAAGAUAGGAUCUUGAGAUGAUGUAUAACAUACAAUUACAAAUAAAAUAAGAAGGAGAAGAGGUGAAGAUGAAAUCAUAAAACUAGAACAAGGUUAUGAAUCAAGUUGUAAGAAAGGAUAAGGAGGUUCAUACCAAUACGAAUCAAGGCUGGAAAUGAACAAGAAUUAAGCUCCAAACAGCCCCUUGGCUGCUCUUGAUCCCAAAGAGAGAGAGAGGGACGAUUUUUGAGAGAGAGGGAGGGUUUAGAGUGUUUUCCUUGUGUGUGUUCCAAAUGAUUCAAUUUACACAUUAAGUACUAUUAACUAGAUGGACUUUGCAAAUAGGCCCAUAGCCCAUGGACUUCAAUAAAAGGAGUUUACAAGAUGAUCAAAAGAGUCCAAUAACAUAAGAAAUCAGACAUUGGUUAAAUAAAUUAACCCAAGGUUACAAGGAUAAUUAAAUUAAAAUAACCAAACGUACCGAGAAAACCCGGGGCGUUACAACUCUCCCCCACUAAGAACGGACUUCGUCCUCGAAGUCAACACCUAGAAACAGAUCCGGAUAAUGAGCCCGCAUCUCGCAUUCCGGUUCCCAAGUCCAUUCCGAACCCUUCCUAUGUUGCCACUGCACCUUAACCAGGUUUAUAGUCUUGUUGCGGAGAGCUUUCGUCUUUCGUUCUAAAAUAGCGAUUGGUUUCUCAACAUAAUUGAGACGCUCGUCAAUUUGUAUGUCCUCCAGUGGUAUCACAGCGGUCUCAUCAACAACGCAUUUUCGUAACUGAGACACGUGGAACGUAUUAUGAAUUAGACUAAGCUCGUCAGGAAGCUCUAAACGGUAAGCCACCUUCCCCACACGAGCUAUGACCUUGUAGGGUCCAAUGAAUCGGGGUCCGAGCUUUCCCCGCUUCCGAAAUCGAAUCACACCUUUCCAGGGGGAGACUUUAAGCAACACAUAAUCUCCCACCUGGAACUCAAGAUUGGAGCGUCUUUUGUCGGCAUAACUUUUCUGACGACUGCUCGCUGUGACCAAAUGAUCCCGAAUCACUUGGAUUUUCUCCGUAGUCUGUAGCACGAUAUCGGUACUCCCAAGUACCCUCUGCCCAACCUCGCCCCAACAAACGGGCGUCCUGCACUUCCUCCCGUACAAGGCUUCAUACGGAGGCAUUUUAAUGCUCGAGUGAUAGCUGUUGUUAUAAGAAAACUCAGCUAGAUGUAGAUGGUCAUCCCAACUACCCCCAAAAUCAAUCGCACACGCCCUAAGCAUGUCCUCCAAGGUCUGAAUCGUCCGCUCACUCUGCCCGUCUGUCUGCGGAUGGAAGGCGGUACUAAAAUGUAAUCGUGUGCCCAAUUCCUCUUGAAACUUCCUCCAGAACCGAGAGGUAAAUCGGGUGUCUCGAUCGGAGAUGAUAGAAACGGGCACCCCAUGUAAUGAGACAAUCUCCCGAACAAAGAUCUCGGCUAAUUUCUCCGCCGAUGAGCUCUCCUUUAUAGCCAGAAAGUGAGCACUCUUAGUCAAACGAUCAACAAUCACCCAUAUCGUAUCUGAUCCUCGGGCAGUUCUAGGAAGUUUUGUAAUGAAGUCCAUGGUUAGAUGCUCCCAUUUCCAUUCAGGAAUCUCCAAUGGUUGCAACUUCCCAUGCGGUUUCUGGUGUUCCGCCUUGACCUUCCGACAGGUCAUACAUUCUUCCACAAAUCGAGCCACAUCAUUCUUCAUUCCAUGCCACCAGUAAGCCUCAUGAAGGUCCCGAUACAUUUUAGUAGCACCAGGAUGGAUAGAAAAUUUUGACUUAUGAGACUCAUCCAUUAGGGUUUUCCGAUUUCCCCCGGUAUAUGGAACCCAAAUCCUACCGUAGCGAGUCAGCAAACCACGCCCGUCUCGUUCCAUCUUAGGCAACUCUUUCCGAAUCUUCUCACGCCUGAUGUUUUCCUCCAGUAUUGCCGUCUUUUGGGCGUCCCGGAUUAGAUCUAACAAAGACGACACCAUCGUGAUCCGGAGACACUUAGCUCGAAUUGGUUCGGCAGAUUGUUUACGACUAAGAGCAUCAGCUACCACAUUAGCUUUACCGGGGUGGUAGUGAAUUUCACAAUCAUAAUCUUUUACCACAUCUAACCAUCGGAUCUGCCUCAUAUUCAAAUCCCGCUGCUCGAACAAAUAUUUUAGACUCUUAUGGUCAGUGUAUAUGAUAAACUUCACUCCAUAGAGAUAGUGUCUCCAAAUCUUAAGAGCGAAAACAACAGCCCCAAGCUCCAAAUCAUGAGUGGGGUAGUUUCGUUCGUGGGGUUUCAGCUGUCGGGAGGCAUAGGCUAUCACCCUAUCUCGUUGCAUUAACACGGCACCAAGACCUUGAAGCGAUGCAUCACAGUAAACCACCAUAUCCUCAACCCCAUCAGGUAAGGCCAAAAUCGGAGCUUCACACAAUCGUUUCCUUAACUCAUCAAACGCCAGUUGCUGCUCCGGGCCCCAAACGAAUUUCAUUGAUUUCUUGGUCAAUCGGGUGAGUGGUAAGGCGAUUUUAGAGAAAUUUUCAAUGAACCUCCGGUAAUAACCGGCUAAACCCAAGAAACUGCGAAUUUCAGAAGGUGUUUUCGGAAUCUUCCAUUGCUUAACCGCAUCAACCUUGGCUUGAUCGACCUUGAUACCUUGUUUGUUUACCACAUGCCCCAAGAACUGAACUUCUUCCAACCAAAAUUCACAUUUUGAAAAUUUAGCAUAAAGCCUUUCUCUUGCCAGAGUUUCCAGAAUCUCCCGAAGGUGUUGCUGAUGCUCCUCUUUGCUCUUAGAAUAGACUAAGAUAUCAUCUAUGAACACUAUGACCGAACGGUCAAGCAUCAGGCUACACACCCGGUUCAUGAGAUCCAUGAACGCUGCGGGUGCAUUGGUGAGCCCAAAAGGCAUCACUACGAAUUCAAAGUGCCCAUAUCGAGUACGGAAUGCUGUUUUCUCAAUGUCUUCUUCACGAACACGCAUCUGAUGGUAACCGGAACGUAAAUCAAUCUUGGAAAACCAAGAUGCUCCCUGAAGCUGAUCGAAAAGAUCGUCAAUACGUGGCAACGGGUACCUAUUCUUUAUCGUGCGCUUGUUUAGCUCCCUAUAAUCAAUACACAUUCGCUGGGAUCCAUCUUUCUUCUUCACAAAGAGAAUAGGAGCACCCCAAGGCGAGCAGCUUGGCCGUAUAAACCCUUUAUCACUUAGUUCUUGAAGUUGAUCUUGGAGCUCUUUCAUUUCAGGUGGUGCCAAGCGGUAAGGAGAUUUCGCUACCGGAGUCGCACCUGGCACCAAAUCAAUGCGAAACUCCACUUGCCGAACAGGUGGCAAGCCAGGGAGUUCCUCCGGAAAGACAUCGCUGAAGUCGGAAACGAUAGGAACGUCGUCUAGUGCUAUAGCAGAAGAGCAAGAAGCCAUAGCCAGGCGGGGAAUGUCCCCCUGAAUAAUAAGUUCUCCACCUCUAGGGUUUCGAACACGAACUUGCUUCUUACGACAGUGGAUUUCCGCAUCAAACGCAUCAAGCCAAUCCAUGCCUACGAUAACGCAGAGCUCUCGCAUCGCAAUAGGGAUAAGAUCAAUAGGGAAUUCAACUCCAGAAAACUCGAGAGUGCAACCCCGAUAGACAUCGGUGACAUAAAUAGUGCGGUUGUCGGCAACAUCGACAACCAUUGGGUGAGCCAAUUUUCCGAUACUACGCCCCAAACGAUUAAUAAACGUGUGAGAUACAAAAGAAUGGGUAGCACCGCUAUCAAACAUAACAACAUCGGGCUUGGAAUCUAGCAAAUAAGUGUCUGCCACUGUCGUUGUAAUCACCGGCUCCUCCACAGUCAUCUGGUGAGCACGACCUCGUGUCACCAUAGUGGUUCCCUUAGAGGAUGAUGCAAUUGCAGGAUUUGUACCCCUGUCUCCUUUACCAGUCUUCAACUUCGGGCAUUCAGGCUUCUUGUGUCCCGUCUCGUUGCAGUGAUAGCAGACGGGAACUGCAGAAGUAAUAUGAGGUACUGCACUCGCAGGGGGAUCCCUACAAUUCUUCCAAUGAUGCCCUGGCUUUUUGCAGUUGUAGCAUAUCAACAUAUUUUUCUCGCCCUGAAGACGUCCUAUACUCAUACCUUGACUUACUACCCUGCUUUUGCGUUUUCUGGGCAUCUCUGGAUGUCUUGGAAGAGGUGUCAUUGGCCUUCCUCUUGGACUGGGUCUGCAACUCGAUUUCCCUCCUCCUCGCUACAUUCAUGAUCGCAGAUAAAUUCGAGAACUUCUGCAUGCUAACGAAUUCCCGAAUCUCGAUACGUAGGAUGGCCGUGUACCGGCUGACUAACCAGGCCUCGUUCCCAGCAAACGAGGGGCAAAAAGAUAGCAUCUCCAAGAACUUGGCGUUCAGGUCACUAACGGAUUCGGUAGUCUGCUGUAAGGCCAUGAACUCUUGCUGCAUCCGCUGCUGCUCCACCUUAGGCACAUAUUGUGCCUCGAACCUCUCCACAAAUUGGGCCCAAGACAUGGCCCUCACUUAGUCUUCGUUCAAUAGAGCGGUGAUGGUGUUCCACUAUGUCUUUCCCCUUUUUCACAGCUGAUUCAUGGCGAUCACUGCUUUGUACUAGUCCGGACACCCAACACUUAUGAAGGCGCCCUCAACAUCUGACACCCAGGGCUUAGUAGCAACUGGGUCGGAUUCACCAUUCCAAAGAGGAGAGCUACACUUGUUGAACUUCUCGAAGUAGUAUGCCGAAUCCUGAACAGGCAGAGACAGUAACGCUUCCCCGGGAAUAGCCGCGAGGCGCUCAUCCAGAAGAGCACCGAAUUGGUUGAUUAUGUCGUUGGUCACACCCGGGAUUAGUUCGUUGAAACCGUUAUUGAAUUCCUCAGCGACAAUAUCCCUAACUUGCUCCAUUUGGAGCUGAUUAAGUCGAGCAGGCGGAGCCAUUGGUAUCCACAGAAGAAGGAAAAUCUUAGAAACAAUUCAGCCUAGAUAUUUCUAGGAAGACAAAACACUCAGCUUGCCGAAAAUUUUUCAACCUUGCCCCGACUCGAAACCGGCACCGAUGUUUCAAAUAGUAGGGGCCCUUCUACUACCUUCCACACAAGUUCCAAUUUCGCAUUCGCGUCUAGUUUCAAAAUUUCCAGUUCGCUCUAGCCGUUAAUUUUACAACUCUCUCACAUGUUAACACUAACUAAGUGUGUAAUCUAAUAUUUUAAGGCUAGUAGAAUCCAAUUCAUAGUCAACAAUUUAACAUAAACAUUUAACAUAAGAAAUAAGGCUUACUUGGCUGGCUGACUGGUACACCGCGACAUCUUUCACUACUAGUCUUCAGAAAGUUUGAAAAAUAUUUUAAAAAGAAAAUAAACUCUUAUAGAGCCUCAAAUUUGAGUCUAGAACAUCCACAAGAAUGCCUAGUUCCCUCAAACUGUGGCUCUGAUACCAACUUGUGACACCCAAUUUUUUUUUUAAAAAUUUUAAACUUUUAAAACCCAUCUUAAAUUAAAUUAAAACAACUGAAAUAGUCAUAACAUAAUCCAUCAACUUAAUAAUCAUAUAAAAUAAGUGCGGAAGUAAUAAUAAUAAUAAGGUCCCAACAAAAUAACUAGUAGCGAUGUCCCGAUGCUCCAUGUCAAGCCUUAGCCUCUUUAAUCUUAACACCUGAAAAGUUAUAAGGGAAAAACGUAAGCACGAAGCUUAGUGAAUUCAAACACAGACAUUGUACUAACAUUCAUAUUUACUAGCCCUAAUCCAUUUUCCAAUUAUAAUGAUAAAGGCAAAGAACGAAUCAAUGUCUAUAUUACGAGAAGGACUUGUAGGUUUGAACCGCACCGGGAAGAUCCCGUAUCAUUUGGCCCUAAUCACCGCACCUCACGAAGAGUAUUACGUUGGUGAUCUUACCUACCCACCGCACCGGUAAAUCCGUAUCCUUUGGUGGUGUCCCCAUAUCCAUAAUUAGUUACAUACAGUGCACAUGUACGAAUUAAAACAAUACUUAUAUAGCAUGCUUUUAUAAUAAAUUCAAAUAAUCACACACGAGCUAACUAGCAAACACAAUCAUCAAUACAACGGUGUGAGAGAACUCACCUUGAGUGAGUAUUAAGGAUGGCUAACAAUCAAAUAAUGCUACCAAGCUUGAGCAAACUUCAAAACCUCACCUAAGAAGGACUAAAGGUUAGAAAGGAGAAGUAAUGAAGCUAUGAGUUGAGAAAAGAGUAAUCACAGCAAGGUCUCUAAAACAGACCUGCUGUUCAAAACGGAUUUACUCCAAAAUCUAAAACAGAAACAUAGCUUUAACUAAAUUUUAUAGGAAACUAUGAUUGCUCAGGAUUCCACAACUAUAAAGAACUCAUUCUAACUCCAAAA